AUUGAACGCUGGCGGCAGGCCUAACACAUGCAAGUCGAACGGUAGCACAGAAGAGCUUGCUCUUCGGGUGACGAGUGGCGGACGGGUGAGUAAUGUCUGGGGAUCUGCCCGAUGGAGGGGGAUAACUACUGGAAACGGUAGCUAAUACCGCAUAACGUCGCAAGACCAAAGUGGGGGACCUUCGGGCCUCACACCAUCGGAUGAACCCAGAUGAGAUUAGCUAGUAGGUGGGGUAACGGCUCACCUAGGCGACGAUCUCUAGCUGGUCUGAGAGGAUGACCAGCCACACUGGAACUGAGACACGGUCCAGACUCCUACGGGAGGCAGCAGUGGGGAAUAUUGCACAAUGGGCGCAAGCCUGAUGCAGCCAUGCCGCGUGUAUGAAGAAGGCCUUCGGGUUGUAAAGUACUUUCAGCGGGGAGGAAGGGAGAGAGGCUAAUAACCUUUUUCAUUGACGUUACCCGCAGAAGAAGCACCGGCUAACUCCGUGCCAGCAGCCGCGGUAAAAC
rnacentral:rRNA from 1 species